GGAGACUGUUGUUCUGUUCGAUUGAGGGUAGCAUGCCAGCCGUCGACCGGGGCUAACGACUAGCUUCAGGAAGCUUCAGCUCCCGUGUUCCACGCUGCAUGGCGUACUUUCAUAGCCCACUGCCAUAUUUUGUCCCCAAUGUUGUUUUGUU